AUUAGUGGCGAACGGGUGAGUAACACGUGAGUAACCUGCCCUUGACUCUGGGAUAACCUCCGGAAACGGAAGCUAAUACCGGAUACGACGUACGGAGGCAUCUCCUGUACGUGGAAAGAACUUCGGUCAAGGAUGGACUCGCGGCCUAUCAGGUAGUUGGUGAGGUAACGGCUCACCAAGCCUACGACGGGUAGCCGGCCUGAGAGGGUGACCGGCCACACUGGGACUGAGACACGGCCCAGACUCCUACGGGAGGCAGCAGUGGGGAAUAUUGCACAAUGGGCGCAAGCCUGAUGCAGCAACGCCGCGUGAGGGACGACGGCCUUCGGGUUGUAAACCUCUUUUAGUAGGGAAGAAGCGAAAGUGACGGUACCUGCAGAAAAAGCACCGGCUAACUACGUGCCAGCAGCCGCGGUAAUACGUAGGGUGCGAGCGUUGUCCGGAAUUAUUGGGCGUAAAGAGCUCGUAGGCGGUCUGUCGCGUCUGCUGUGAAAACCCGAGGCUCAACCUCGGGCCUGCAGUGGGUACGGGCAGACUAGAGUGCGGUAGGGGAGAAUGGAAUUCCUGGUGUAGCGGUGGAAUGCGCAGAUAUCAAGAGGAACACCGAUGGCGAAGGCAGUUCUCUGGGCCGUAACUGACGCUGAGGAGCGAAAGCGUGGGGAGCGAACAGGAUUAGAUACCCUGGUAGUCCACGCCGUAAACGUUGGGCGCUAGAUGUGGGGACCAUUCCACGGGUUCCGUGUCGCAGCUAACGCAUUUAAGCGCCCCGCCUGGGGAGUACGGCCGCAAGGCUAAACUUCAAAGGAAUUGACGGGGCCGCACAAGCGGCGGGAGCAUGCG
rnacentral:rRNA from 1 species